UAUCAACUUUGACUCCCACACCGCAUACAAAGCCAAAAAGCUGGUAUACAUGAACUAAAGCAAACCAAAUAAACGAAUACAUUACAGAGAAAUUAAUCAAGGUGGUGGUGAAAUUAUGGCAUUGUUGGCUUUGAGUUUGCUACUUUGUGUUCCUAUCCUAGUUUGGUGUCUAAAACUAUUGCAGGCAAUAUGGUGGAAACCGAGAAUGAUAGAGAAGAAGCUGAAAAGGCAAGGUAUCCAUGUUCUACCAUACAAACUGCUUGUUGGGAACAUUAAAGAGAGGAACAAGUUAGCCUCUGAGGCUAGGUCUAAGCCCAUGGAACUAUCCCAUGAUAUUGCCACUCUCCUUAAUCCUAUGCUUCAAAAGCUCGCCAUGACAUAUAAGAAGCCAAUUGCUAUUUGGCAUGGAACGGUUCCUUGUGUGGUGAUUAUGAAUCCAAAAUUAAUAAAAGAUAUAAUGACAAGAAAAUUUGAAUUUCAAAAGCCAGAAGUAAG
rnacentral:misc_RNA from 1 species